UACGGGGGGGGUAAGCGUUGUUCGGAAUUACUGGGCGUAAAGGGCUCGUAGGCGGCCAACUAAGUCAUACGUGAAAUCCCUCAACUUAACUGGGGAACUGCGUGUGAUACUGGAUGGCUUGGAUUUGGGAGAGGGAUGCGGAAUUCCAGGUGUAGCGGUGAAAAUGCGUAGAUAUCUGGAGGAACACCGGUGGCGAAGGCGGCAUCCUGGACCAAUAUUGACGCUGAGGAGCGAAAAGCCAGGGGAGCAAACGGG
rnacentral:rRNA from 1 species